rnacentral:ribozyme from 14 species
GCCCCAUUUGUAUCUCUUUCCUCUUUCCUCUUUUCUUUUUUUUGGCUUUUUAUUGAAUAUUUUCGUGUAAUUGUAAUUUAUAGCUGAACGGCGG